AGAGUGAAAGCCCAGGCUAAAGAGCUUGUUCGCCUUUACCCCACCCUCUUGACCCAACGGACUUCGAGACAAGGCCAAGAACAAAACAAAAGCCCACAGAAGAGAGAGGAGGGAUCCUUUACCUCCUGUCCAGUGCAGUGUGAAGAGCUUUAAGGAGCUAAUUUGAAGAGCCUAAUAUGUGUCCCUUGGAGCUCCCUGAGCCUGACUGGAAAAACGUGUUGAAGGAAACAGGGAAGGAUGCUGUAUUGGGACAGCAAGUGCACUGUCACUUGUUGGAGAAUAAAAGAUGGAUAUUGAAGUCAUGGUAUGAAUGUUAACCUGGGAUCAUCUGAAAAGAAAGUUUGUCUGCUGGGCUUCUUCCAGAGUAAAAGUGCUUUUCCAAAAAGAAAGCUAAGAUGGUGUUCUUGGACACAAGAGAGGAGAAGUACCACUGGCUGGCUGCAGGAGGGAAAGCUGCAUUUGGAGAAGUCAGACAUCCCAAAAAAGAACACACAUGGUUUUGAAGAAGAGGGAGUCCUCCAGGAAGUUGACAGAAGGGGACUGUUCUAAUUCCAGCUAAUGAAUUAAGUGAAGAAAUGAAUAGUAUCAAAAAAUAAUUUCACAGGUCUAGACGAAAAUUCGCAAUGAAUGAUUUUUUAUAGUAAAUGAAUGAUCUUUUAGGGAAAACUAAAAUCUUACAGAUAUCUUCUCAAAAUAAAGUUAUAUUCAUGAUAUAAAAAUUAAACCCAAAUUGUUAAUUGCCACUGUGUUGCCCUUUUUUUUUUCCUCAAAGGACACAGAAUAUAUCUUUUUUUUUCUCCUCGUCCUCUUGUUAUUGUCUGAGACAGAGCAGAUACUUGAAUAAAUAUCUCUACAAUGAUGGAAUAAGUUCAAUCAGACCAAGAAAUAUGCAUUUAUAAACUCUACUGGAAGGAAGGACAAAGAAGCCGGGAGGGUAGAGGGUCUCCGUUUAUACCAUGUGUUAUAGUUUGUGUCUAGAUGUCUCCCCAAAGCCUCAUGAGGUUAUAGUUGGCUUUUUCAGAAGUGACUGAAUCUAGAGUGUGUGAUGCUGGGAUUAAGGGUGUGCAAUUACUGACCAGUACACUGAUUGGCUCGGCACCACCCUAAUCCCGGUAGUCUGCAUAAGAUAAAAGGGGUAGAAAGACACUGUUAAGGUUCCCUUGUUACUUUUGCUACCAUGUGGACACCAUGAACUGUUUCCUCUCUGUGAUGCCCCUCUGCCAUGUGCCACUUUGCCUUGGAGCCUGCCAUUUAAGGACUGAAACCUCUACAAGCUGUGAACUAAAUAAAUCCUUUCCCU
rnacentral:lncRNA from 1 species